UCUUGGAGUUCUAGCUCACUUUUCUGGUGUUGUUCUUGUACUCAUCUGUUUAAUCUAGUUCUGCCACUUCUUCUUGAACUUCUUGUAAGAUUUCAAGUCUUUUUUUUGUGUCCGUGACACUUCUUUUAUAGAUGUAAGAAUAGUACCUCAAUGAUUUAUAUUAAAAAUAUAUAAGAUUUCUAUCUUAAGAGUAUUAACAAGCUUCUGAAGAUGUAUAGUAAUUACAAAUCUAUUCUCAUUUUUGUUGAGAAUAGCAUCUAUAAGUUUUUCUUCUAU
rnacentral:lncRNA from 1 species